rnacentral:tRNA from 3 species
GCGCCCGUAGCUCAGCUGGAUAGAGCGACGGCCUCCGGAGCCGUAGGUCAGGGGUUCGAAUCCCUUCGGGCGCACCA